rnacentral:lncRNA from 1 species
CCGGCUUCAAGGGCUAAACAAGGGCAAAUUGUAUGGUUUAGGGUAGGUUCGAAAGAGAAAACGGUUUAAAGAUGUGGCGUAUAGAAUAAUCACUACUUGAAAAAGGAGAAUCACUUGUUCGGAACAACAAUCAACACUUGAAACUUUUUUUUCAAUACGAAUUUUUUUUAAUUUUUUUUCAAAUUUUUUUUCUUGUCGAAUUUACAAUUUACAUACCUAAUUUAACUAGCUCUGAUACCAACUUGAUACGCCCUCGCCUCGUUAAUGAAUUGAGUCGUAAAAAU